rnacentral:rRNA from 1 species
UACGUAGGGUGCAAGCGUUAAUCGGAAUUACUGGGCGUAAAGCGUGCGCAGGCGGUUUUGUAAGUCUGUCGUGAAAGCCCCGGGCUCAACCUGGGAAUUGCGAUGGAGACUGCAAGGCUUGAAUCUGGCAGAGGGGGGUAGAAUUCCGACGUGUAGCAGUGAAAUGCAUAGAGAUGUGGAGGAACACCGAUGGCGAAGGCAGCCCC